GGCUCGUCCGAGUGCAGUCGUGUUUAGAACUAAUUGAUGACAACCAGUUACAGAGUUUUUUGCUUUUUCUCCAUUCCCAUUGUUUCAUUUGACUAGUUAAAA
rfam:Callithrix jacchus chromosome 13, whole genome shotgun sequence